AUGUUUGCUGAUCAUGUUUUCUUGUUUGGCGGCCGGGGAAUUCAGGUUGUGCUGAAGCUGGACGUGCACGACGACAGGCAGAAGCAGAAGGCGAUGCAGGUCGUCUCCACCCUCCAAGGCAUCGACCAUAUCGCCGUGGACAUGAAGGACCAGAAGAUGACGGUCAUCGGCACCGUCGACCCCGUCGUCCUCGUCGAAAGGCUGCGCAGCAAGUUCCCCAUGGCACAGAUGAUCUCCGUCGGCCCGGCCAAGGAGGAGAAGAAGGACGGCGCCAAGAAGGAAGGCGACAAGAAGGAGGGCGACAAGAAGGCGCCUCCGUUCUGGUACCCGCCGCCGCCGUACCACCCGCACCCGUACCACCACGCCUGCAGCGCCGACGAGGACCCCAACUCGUGCAUCAUCUCCUAG
rnacentral:rRNA from 1 species